rnacentral:rRNA from 1 species
ACUCAAAUGAAUUGACGGGGACCCGCACAAGCGGUGGAGCGUGUUGUUUAAUUGGAUGCUAAGCCAAGAACCUUACCAAGAUUUGACAUCCUUGGAAUUACUUCGAAAGAAGUGAGUGCCUUCGGGAACCAAGUGACAGGUGUUGCAUGGCCGUCGUCAGCUCGUGUCGUGAGAUGUUAGGUUAAGUCCUUCAACGAGCGCAACCCUUAUGGAUAGUUGGAUUUUUCUAUUCAGACUGCCCCGGUAACGGGGAGGAAGGAGGGGAUGAUGUCAGGUCAUUAUUACCCUUACAUCUUGGGCUACAAACGCGCUACAAUGGCCGGUACAAUGGGCAGCCAAGUCGUGAGACGGAGCUAAUCUCAUCAAAGCCGGUCCCAGUUCGGAUUGCAGGCUGAAACUCGCCUGCAUGAAGUCGGAAUCGCUAGUAAUCGCAGGUCAGCACACUGCGGUGAAUACGUUCCCGGGUCUUGCACACACCGCCCGU